GCAUAACGCUAUAGUACACUGUACCUCGAACGCGUUGGCCCAAUUGAUUGAUGGUGCUUGCACCUGAUUGAUUUUGGUCGCCAACGAGUGGCGGACGGGUGAGUAACACGUAGGUAACCUGCCCAGAAGCGGGGGACAACAUUUGGAAACAGAUGCUAAUACCGCAUAACAGCGUUGUUCGCAUGAACAACGCUUAAAAGAUGGCUUCUCGCUAUCACUUCUGGAUGGACCUGCGGUGCAUUAGCUUGUUGGUGGGGUAACGGCCUACCAAGGCGAUGAUGCAUAGCCGAGUUGAGAGACUGAUCGGCCACAAUGGGACUGAGACACGGCCCAUACUCCUACGGGAGGCAGCAGUAGGGAAUCUUCCACAAUGGGCGCAAGCCUGAUGGAGCAACACCGCGUGAGUGAAGAAGGGUUUCGGCUCGUAAAGCUCUGUUGUUAAAGAAGAACACGUAUGAGAGUAACUGUUCAUACGUUGACGGUAUUUAACCAGAAAGUCACGGCUAACUACGUGCCAGCAGCCGCGGUAAUACGUAGGUGGCAAGCGUUAUCCGGAUUUAUUGGGCGUAAAGAGAGUGCAGGCGGUUUUCUAAGUCUGAUGUGAAAGCCUUCGGCUUAACCGGAGAAGUGCAUCGGAAACUGGAUAACUUGAGUGCAGAAGAGGGUAGUGGAACUCCAUGUGUAGCGGUGGAAUGCGUAGAUAUAUGGAAGAACACCAGUGGCGAAGGCGGCUACCUGGUCUGCAACUGACGCUGAGACUCGAAAGCAUGGGUAGCGAACAGGAUUAGAUACCCUGGUAGUCCAUGCCGUAAACGAUGAGUGCUAGGUGUUGGAGGGUUUCCGCCCUUCAGUGCCGGAGCUAACGCAUUAAGCACUCCGCCUGGGGAGUACGACCGCAAGGUUGAAACUCAAAGGAAUUGACGGGGGCCCGCACAAGCGGUGGAGCAUGUGGUUUAAUUCGAAGCUACGCGAAGAACCUUACCAGGUCUUGACAUCUUGCGCCAACCCUAGAGAUAGGGCGUUUCCUUCGGGAACGCAAUGACAGGUGGUGCAUGGUCGUCGUCAGCUCGUGUCGUGAGAUGUUGGGUUAAGUCCCGCAACGAGCGCAACCCUUGUUACUAGUUGCCAGCAUUAAGUUGGGCACUCUAGUGAGACUGCCGGUGACAAACCGGAGGAAGGUGGGGACGACGUCAGAUCAUCAUGCCCCUUAUGACCUGGGCUACACACGUGCUACAAUGGACGGUACAACGAGUCGCGAACUCGCGAGGGCAAGCAAAUCUCUUAAAACCGUUCUCAGUUCGGACUGCAGGCUGCAACUCGCCUGCACGAAGUCGGAAUCGCUAGUAAUCGCGGAUCAGCAUGCCGCGGUGAAUACGUUCCCGGGCCUUGUACACACCGCCCGUCACACCAUGAUAGUUUGUACACCCAAAAUCGUUUGGCUUCCUUCCUCGCGCCUUCCGCCGGUUUCUCGUCCCCGCA
rnacentral:rRNA from 2 species